rnacentral:rRNA from 1 species
GUGAACGCUAGGCAAUAGAUAUAACACAUGCUAGUUGUUUGUUUACUUAUAAAUUAGGUAAAAAUAGCGCACGGGUGAGUAUAAUAUUUGAACAGAAACGCUGAUAAAAAUAUGUGUGCUUAAUUAUUAUAUUAUACAUGUAUAAAUAAUUUCAAUAUAUUUAUAUAUUUUAUUGUUAUUAUUAAAAGUAUUUAUUACUUUUUGGCGUAAUGGCUUUUUGUAAGAUUAGAUUGUUGUUUUGUUAAUAACCAAACAAGUCUACGAUCUGUAGCUGGUCUGAGAGGAUGUACAGUCACAUUGGGGAUGAGAAAAGAACCCGAGUUCCUAUAUGGAGGCAGCAGUGGGGAAGUAUUGGACAAUGAGCGCAAGCUUGAUCCAGUAAUAUUGCGUGAGUGAUCUAGAAGGUUAAUUAUUGUAAAACUCUUUUAUAGUUGAUUAUAAUGAAGUUAAACUAUGAAUAAG